AUACGUAGGGUGCGAGCGUUGUCCGGAAUUACUGGGCGUAAAGAGCUCGUAGGUGGUUUGUCGCGUCGUCUGUGAAAUUCAGGGGCUUAACUCCGGGCGUGCAGGCGAUACGGGCAUAACUUGAGUACUGUAGGGGAGACUGGAAUUCCUGGUGUAGCGGUGAAAUGCGCAGAUAUCAGGAGGAACACCGGGGGCGAAGGCGGGUCUCUGGGCAGUAACUGACGCUGAGGAGCGAAAGCAUGGGUAGCGAACAGGAUUAGAUACCCUGGUAGUCCAUGCCGUAAACGGUGGGCGCUAGGUGUAGGGGUCUUCCACGACUUCUGUGCCGUAGCUAACGCAUUAAGCGCCCCGCCUGGGGAGUACGGCCGCAAGGCUAAAACUCAAAUGAAUUGACGGGG
rnacentral:rRNA from 1 species